rnacentral:rRNA from 1 species
UACAGAGGGCCCGAGCGUUGUUCGGAUUCACUGGGCGUAAAGGGUGCGUAGGUGGCGAGGUAAGUCGGAUGUGAAAGCUCGGAGCUCAACUCCGAAAUGGCAUUGGAAACUACCUUGCUCGAGGGUUGGAGGGGGGACUGAAUACUUGGUGUAGCAGUGAAAUGCGUAGAUAUCAAGUGGAACACCAGUGGCGAAGGCGAGUCCCUGGACAACUCCUGACACUGAGGCACGAAAGCUAGGGGAGCAAACAGG